rnacentral:rRNA from 1 species
CCUACGGGGGGCAGCAGUGGGGAAUAUUGCACAAUGGGGGAAACCCUGAUGCAGCAACGCCGCGUGAGCGAUGAAGGCCUUCGGGUCGUAAAGCUCUGUCCUAAGGGAAGAAUACUGACGGUACCUUAGGAGGAAGCCCCGGCUAACUACGUGCCAGCAGCCGCGGUAAUACGUAGGGGGCUAGCGUUAUCCGGAAUUACUGGGCGUAAAGGGUGCGUAGGCGGCCCUUCAAGUCAGAGGUGAAAGGCUACGGCUCAACCGUAGUAAGCCUUUGAAACUGUAGGGGUUGAGUGCAGGAGAGGGGAGUGGAAUUCCCAGGUGAGCGGUGAAAUGGGUAGAUAAUUGGAGGGACCACAGUUGCGAAGGCGGCUCUCUGGACUGUAACUGACGCUGAGGCACGAAAGCGUGGGGAGCGAACAGGAUUAGAUACCCGAGUAGUC